rnacentral:antisense_RNA from 1 species
GUGGCUUCGCGACUGCGGAAGGUUGCCCGGGCUGGCGCCGCUGGGCAGAGCCGGUGCGACGUUUCCCUUUCCAACUUUGUUCUUCCGGCCUUGCUGUCUGCCUCCCCGGCUGAUUGGAUUCGUUACUGCUUUGCAACGCGCACCUAACUCCAGCAGCAGGUAGUCCCUGAGGAGCGGGGGCAGUGGCAGCCGGGUGGCACCCUGCCGGCAGCGGCUUCCCAACUGAGCGCGCACAGCUAGUCGGGCCAGGUGCUGCAGCCGCCUUGGCUGGUUCACCAUGCACAGGGCCGAGCUGUAGAAGGCUUCGUGCUCCUAGGCCAGGAGUGAAAGAAGGGGCCCUCCUGCUGCUCCCUCCAUGAGGCUGGUCCUGAAGGAAUAGGCCUGUGGCUCGUCCCUCCUCCCCAUCUCGGCCCUGAGGCAGACAUACCUUCCACAGCUCUGGGAGCACCGCCU